UCGGAUUUGGUGUAUGGUGCACCCUCGCUCUCGAUCUCAAUAGUCAGGUGACUCAGGUUGUGGAUAUCUUCAGCGAGUGUUGGGGUUCGAUUCCCUGGAUCCGAA